rnacentral:rRNA from 1 species
GCACGGGUGAGUAACACGUAUGCAACCUGCCCACAACUGCGGGAUAACCCGUCGAAAGACGGACUAAUACCGCAUGGUAUGGAUUGAUCGCCUGAUUGAUUCAUCAAAGAAUUUCGGUUGUGGAUGGGCAUGCGUUCCAUUAGGCAGUUGGUGUGGUAACGGCUCACCAAACCUACGAUGGAUAGGGGUUCUGAGAGGAAGGUCCCCCACACUGGUACUGAGACACGGACCAGACUCCUACGGGAGGCAGCAGUGAGGAAUAUUGGUCAAUGGGCGAGAGCCUGAACCAGCCAAAUCGCGUGAAGGAUGAAGGUAUUAUGUAUUGUAAACUUCUUUUAUAGGGGAAUAAAGUGCACCACGUGUGGUGUUUUGUAUGUACCCUAGGAAUAAGGAUCGGCUAACUCCGUGCCAGCAGCCGCGGUAAUACGGAGGAUCCAAGCGUUAUCCGGAUUUAUUGGGUUUAAAG